rnacentral:rRNA from 1 species
UGCAGUCGAACGAGGAUAUAUCCUUCGGGAUAUAAGCCGAGUGGCGAAAGGGUGAGUAAUGCACAGACAACCUGCCUUUAGGAUAAGAAUAACUCUGUGAAAGCGGGGCUAAUACUUAAUAAUACAAAGGAAAGGUUCUUUUCUUUGUUAAAGAAGGGUAUGUAAAUACCUUGCGCCUAAAGAGGGGUUUAUGUCCUAUCAGCUUGUUGGUAGGGUAACGGCCUACCAAGGCGAAGACGGGUAGCCGGCCUUAGAGGGUGGUCGGCCACACUGGAACUGAGACACUGUCCAGACUUCUACGGAAGGCUGCAGUCGAGAAUCUUUCGCAAUGCCCGAAAGGGUGACGAUGCAACGCCGCGUGGAUGAAGAAGGCCUUCGGGUUGUAAAAUCCUGUCAGGAGUUAAGAAAUGUAAGUUUGAGAAUACCAAAUUUACUUGACAAAGGCUCCAAAGGAAGCCACGGCUAACUCUGUGCCAGCAGCCGCGGUAAUACAGAGGUGGCGAGCGUUGUUCGGAAUUAUUGGGCGUAAAGAGCACGUAGGUGGAUUUGUAAGUCAGAUGUGAAAGCCUUCUGUUCAACGGAAGAAUUGCAUCUGAAACUACAAACCUUGAGUAUAGGAGGGGAGAGUGGAACUUCUGGUGGAGCGGUGAAAUGCGUAGAUAUCAGAAGGAACGCCGGCGGCGAAAGCGACUCUC